AUAAAUGAUUUCAGAUCAAAUAAAUGAUUUCUGUUUUCUGUUUACUAUAAACAGUUAAGAGGUAAGACCUUUCCCCCUCCCAACCCAGUUAUUUUCCAAAAGGAUGUGAAGCAAAAUGUCCAAUAUAACCUUAAAAUUUAGAACAUAUCAUUUCUAGCAUUUAGAAAUGAUAUCUAGGUAGUUCUAUCUGGCUCACUGAAGUCUGAGAUAUUCCUUUCGUUGAUAUUUGCUGUCCACAUUCAUGCAGCUAAAUAUAAGUUUUACAAGGACCUCAACAUGAACCUUGUAUUUUCCCCAGUGGCCUGCCAAGGAUUAUUUGAAGUCCAUAGCAGAUUCACUUUGAGACCUAAUUCCUGUGCCCCUCAGCCUAUUGUUUCAAUACCAGUAAUAAUGCACACCUCACUGGAUUUUUGUUCUUUCCCACCAGUCCAGGGUUGCCAGAUUUAACAAAAACAAAUAUAUAACAAAUUUGAAUUUCAGAUAAACAACUAACAACCUUUAAAUAUACAUAUGUCCAGGGGCGCCUGAAUGGCUCAGUCGGUUAAGUGUCUGACUACAGCUCAGGUCAUGAUCUCAGCGUUCAUGAGUUCGAGCCCUGCAUCGGGCUCUGUGCUGACAGCUCGGAACCUGGAGCCUGCUUCGAAUUCUGUGUCUCCCUCUCUCUCUGCCCCUCCCCAGCUCAUGCUCUGUCUCCCUCUCCCCCUCUCUCUCUCUCUCUCUCAAAAAUAAACAAACAUUAAAAAAAUUUUUUAAAUAAAUAAAUAUAAAUAUGUCCUGUUAAACAAUGAAUUGUUUAUUUUAACAUAAGGAAGUCCCAGAUAUUUCAUGGGAGAUAUUUCUACUACAAAAAGUAUUCAUCGUUUAUCUGAAAUUCAGAUUUAACUGGGCAUUCUAUAUUUUAUCUGGUAACCCUGCAAAGUUGCCAGGUAUUUCUGGGAGUCCCCAGCUUGUCAGACAUGUCUACUUAGCAUUGGACACAACUGUAGCUUCAGCCAGGAUCCCCAUAAUUAAUGUGUUAAGUAUCACAGAGGAAGGGGAACUUUCAUUAGGGUGAGUUCCUGUGACUGAAGGUGAGGAUUAGCUUUGAUGACGAUAACCUCCCCUGCAGUUCCAAGAAUAAUGGUAGCAGCUGCUCAUGGAUAGGAAACCAGGGGUAUUAGAUCGUCCCUGAACUUUGUAGCCUGACAGGGAGCAGCUGCAUAGAUGAUAUCCUUGAAAUAUACCCUGGUUAGCAUAGGCUAAAAAAGAUAUGUUAGUUAUUUCCCAGAAAUGCCUAUAUUUCUACAGAUAAAGAUUGCUUUGAGAUGCCAAAUAGAAUGUGUGUCACCAGACUGGAAAGCCAAUCUGAGGGUGAUGUUUUGUUCUUAUGAGACCCAUGUUUAUGUUUAUAACACAUUUAUAAAUGAAAAUGAAGCAGGUAAUAAAGUUAAGACACAUACCUGCUUCUAGUUAGAAAAAAAAUCUGCUAGCUACAUUUAUAUUAUAUAAGAAUAAAGGGAAUGAUCACUGAGAAUAAAACAUUUGAGUAUUUGUAACAAGUAUUUUAUGGGGCAUUUAUAAUGCCUAUAUUGAUAAACCAGCAUGUACUGUCUCAAUUUAAUUGAAAUGACUUGAUGGGGCACCUGGGUGGCUCAGUCUGUGAGGAUCCAACUCUUGAUUUCAGCUCAGGUCAUGAUCCCUGGGUCAGGAGAUCACACCCCCUGUCAAGCUCGGCACUGAGCGUGGAGCCUGCUUAAGAUUCUCUCUCUGUCCCUCUGCCCCUCUCCCCAGCUUAUGCUCUCUCUCUCUCUCAAAUUAAAAAAAAUUUUUUGAUGAUUUGAUUAUUCUUGUGGAAUAAAGGGUCAUAAAAAAAAUGCUAUAGAAAUCCUAUAUAAUAAACAUUUGUAAAGCUGCUGUUGCCAUUGUACCAGUAUUAAAAUGUGCUCUACCUUGUAUCUUUUACUAAUUUUUAUGACAGGUUUUAUUUUGUAUCCAUAUGAGAAUCCUAUAAAUGCUAUGGUUUCAUUAAACUGUUGCUAAUUAUAUACUUUCAAUGCUUAUUUUCAGCUGAAUAACAAUGAGACAAUAUAAACACCAAGGUACAUCUGAUUAUGUUUUUAAAUAAAGAGCAAUAAGAAACCUUU